rnacentral:rRNA from 1 species
AUACGUAGGUGGCAAGCGUUGUCCGGAAUUACUGGGUGUAAAGGGCGUGUAGGCGGAGAUGCAAGUCAGGAGUGAAAUCUAGGGGCUCAACCCCUAAACUGCUUUUGAAACUGUAUCCCUUGAGUAUCGGAGAGGCAGGCGGAAUUCCUAGUGUAGCGGUGAAAUGCGUAGAUAUUAGGAGGAACACCAGUGGCGAAGGCGGCCUGCUGGACGACAACUGACGCUGAGGCGCGAAAGCGUGGGGAGCAAACAGGAUUAGAUACCCUGGUAGUCCACGCUGUAAACGAUGAAUACUAGGUGUGGGGGGACUGACCCCCUCCGUGCCGCAGUUAACACAAUAAGUAUUCCACCUGGGGAGUACGAUCGCAAGAUUGAAACUCAAAGGAAUUGACGGGG